rnacentral:piRNA from 1 species
UGCAGGUCUAUCCGAUGCCUCAGGAUU